rfam:Thermanaeromonas toyohensis ToBE genome assembly, chromosome: I
GUUUCAAUCCCUCAUAGGUAGGCUGGAAAAC